GAUGAACGCUGGGGGCGUGCCUAAUACAUGCAAGUCGAGCGAACAGACGAGGAGCUUGCUCCUCUGACGUUAGCGGCGGACGGGUGAGUAACACGUGGAUAACCUACCUAUAAGACUGGGAUAAAUUCGGGAAACCGGAGCUAAUACCGGAUAAUAUAUUGAACCGCAUGGUUCAAUAGUGAAAGACGGUUUUGCUGUCACUUAUAGAUGGAUCCGCGCCGCAUUAGCUAGUUGGUAAGGUAACGGCUUACCAAGGCAACGAUGCGUAGCCGACCUGAGAGGGUGGUCGGCCACACUGGAACUGAGACACGGUCCAGACUCCUACGGGAGGCGGCAGUAGGGAAUCUUCCGCAAGGGGCGAAAGCUUGACGGAGCAACGCCGCGUGAGUGAUGAAGGUCUUCGGAUCGUAAAACUCUGUUAUUAGGGAAGAACAAAUGUGUAAGUAACUAUGCACGUCUUGACGGUACCUAAUCAGAAAGCCACGGCUAACUACGUG
rnacentral:rRNA from 1 species